rnacentral:tRNA from 1 species
GAGGUUGUGGCUCAGCGGUAGAGUGCUUGCCUAGCAUGUGUGAGGCCCUGGGUUCGAUCUUCAGCACCACA